rnacentral:lncRNA from 1 species
AUGAGGGUGACAAUCACAAAAGUGCUGCCCUCUUCUUUCUAUAUUCCUGCAGAAUCUGAGAAUUUUCAAUAUUCCCAAGCACAGAUUUGGCAACAUUACAUCUUUAUGACUGAAAAAACUAAGUUAAUUCUGACCCACAACCCACCCCCGCAGGAAAAAACAAACCAACCAAAGGAAACAACUGCAUGGAGGAGAGGACAUGGAUCCAUACAAGCAAAGGAGAAGGUGACAAAGGUGGAAAGAAACAGUAAAUUCUCACCUAUGUAAGAAACCGGAAAGCCUCAAGAAAUAAAAAUAACUCAACCUUCUUAGCCA